rnacentral:rRNA from 1 species
CACGUAGGGGACGAGCGUUGUCCGGAAUCAUUGGGCGUAAAGAGCUCGUAGGCGGUGUGUCGCGUUCGGCCGUGAAAACCUGCAGCUUAACUGUGGGCUUGCGGUCGAUACGGGCAUCACUGGAGUUCGGCAGGGGAGACUGGAAUUCCGUGGUGUAGCGGUGAAAUGCGCAGAUAUCAGGAGGAACACCGGUGGCGAAGGCAGCUCGCUGGGACGUACUGACGCUGAGGCGCGAAAGCGUGGGGAGCGAACAGG